UAACACAUGCAAGUCGAGCGGCAGCGGGAGGAAGCUUGCUUCCUCGCCGGCGAGCGGCGGACGGGUGAGUAAUGUCUGGGGAUCUGCCCGAUGGAGGGGGAUAACCACUGGAAACGGUGGCUAAUACCGCAUAACGUCGCAAGACCAAAGUGGGGGACCUUCGGGCCUCACACCAUCGGAUGAACCCAGAUGGGAUUAGCUAGUAGGUGGGGUAAUGGCUCACCUAGGCGACGAUCCCUAGCUGGUCUGAGAGGAUGACCAGCCACACUGGAACUGAGACACGGUCCAGACUCCUACGGGAGGCAGCAGUGGGGAAUAUUGCACAAUGGGCGCAAGCCUGAUGCAGCCAUGCCGCGUGUGUGAAGAAGGCCUUCGGGUUGUAAAGCACUUUCAGCGAGGAGGAAGGUGGUGAGCUUAAUACGCUCAUCAAUUGACGUUACUCGCAGAAGAAGCACCGGCUAACUCCGUGCCAGCAGCCGCGGUAAUACGGAGGGUGCAAGCGUUAAUCGGAAUUACUGGGCGUAAAGCGCACGCAGGCGGUUUGUUAAGUCAGAUGUGAAAUCCCCGAGCUUAACUUGGGAACUGCAUUUGAAACUGGCAAGCUAGAGUCUCGUAGAGGGGGGUAGAAUUCCAGGUGUAGCGGUGAAAUGCGUAGAGAUCUGGAGGAAUACCGGUGGCGAAGGCGGCCCCCUGGACGAAGACUGACGCUCAGGUGCGAAAGCGUGGGGAGCAAACAGGAUUAGAUACCCUGGUAGUCCACGCCGUAAACGAUGUCGAUUUGGAGGUUGUGCCCUUGAGGCGUGGCUUCCGGAGCUAACGCGUUAAAUCGACCGCCUGGGGAGUACGGCCGCAAGGUUAAAACUCAAAUGAAUUGACGGGGGCCCGCACAAGCGGUGGAGCAUGUGGUUUAAUUCGAUGCAACGCGAAGAACCUUACCUACUCUUGACAUCCAGAGAACUUAGCAGAGAUGCUUUGGUGCCUUCGGGAACUCUGAGACAGGUGCUGCAUGGCUGUCGUCAGCUCGUGUUGUGAAAUGUUGGGUUAAGUCCCGCAACGAGCGCAACCCUUAUCCUUUGUUGCCAGCGGUU
rnacentral:rRNA from 1 species